AGCGUCUUCAUACAUCAUUGAGCAAAUCUAUUUAUUGAAGCACUUCUAUUCAAAACUGGAAACUCGAAGAUUUAUGAGACAGUAGAAAAAUAUUUAAAGCAUCUCUCCAAAGAACUUUGAUCUUAAAAUCCAGAGGAGUUAAGUAUCCAAAACUUACAGCCCAUUGAAGCCAUGAUACGUUUACUUCACAAGUAGCUGUGAAGUAAAACUCAGCUGCAAGCAUCUAGAGACCAACCCAAAUCCUUCAGGAAACUACGCCUCCCAUGAUGCACCACGCCGUACUUUUCCAGCUGGAAGCACGACGAUCCAGAACGCCAUCCGAUGAAACGCUGAGAGGUCAGAGGGACGGCGGAGGAAGAGCCGACCUGGACAGGAGGACAGGUGGAGCACAGGUAGACAGCAGUCCGGGACCAGAGGUGCUGGCUGAGCCUUACCUGGACGGGUUUCUGUGGAGGGGUCAAAGGUCGAACCGUCAGCCCCGGGCCUGGAGGCGCUCUGCUCUGCCCUGCAUGUUUCAGAUGUUCCUCUGCUCCAACGCUUCACUCAGAUUCAGAAAUCCCUUCAUCGGCCGUCAGGGGAAACCCAAAGCCUGCAGCCUUCAGGACCGGGGUGGAAAAACACCGUAGAAACUGGAAAAUAUCACGUCCAAAAACCCAAAGAGUCAAACAGAGAAUGGCUCAACAGCAGAGUUAAAUUCUGAUUCAUCUGCUGCUUUAAUCCUCACAGAUUUACGGAUAGGGUUGGGGUUGGAUUAGGGUUGGGGUUGGAUUAGGGUUGGGGGUUUUAUCAUUUCCAGUACCAGAGGAACAAUAACUGGGAAACCUGGUGUAGUUUGUCACUCAGAACCAGUUUGCACUUUUGGCUUUUUCCUCUUUUGCUUUUGGACAAUUUUAAUGUGUAACCAUGGCAACGAGGUGGGAGCAGCUGAUUCGAGUCCUUAAUCUGAAUUUUGACCCCAAAUCCCAGAGAGCUGAUACCAGGGAUUGUAUCAGCUUUGUGGGAUUUCUAUCAGCUGAUUUCUGUAUAAAGUUCUUGAUAUUCUAGUAAUAAAGUUCGAUCUAAGGUUGGAAUUUGGAAAGUGUUAUUUACAGCUGAAACCAGACAUUUAAAGAUAAUAAAAUAAUGGAUCCAUUUUUUCUCUCUA